rnacentral:tRNA from 1 species
GUCAUUGUAAAUACGUUAUUGUGCAGCCCUGAAAAGGCUGGCGUCGGCGGUUCAACUCCGUCCCUGGCCACCA